rnacentral:rRNA from 1 species
AUUGAACGCUGGCGGCAGGCCUAACACAUGCAAGUCGAGCGGAGCGGCGGACGGGUGAGUAAUGCCUAGGAAUCUGCCUGGUAGUGGGGGAUAACGUCCGGAAACGGGCGCUAAUACCGCAUACUAUCAUAUGAGCCUAGGUCGGAUUAGCUAGUUGGUGGGGUAACGCCCUACCAAGGCGACGGUCCGUAACUGGUUUGAGAGGAUGAUCAGUCACACUGGGACUGAGACACGGUCAGAAAUCCACCGGAGGGCAGCGUUGGGGAAUAUAGGACAAUGGGCGAAAGCCGGAUCCAGCCAUGCCGCGUGUGUGAAGAAGGUCUUGGGAUGGUAAAGCACUUUAAGUUGGGAGGCGUUACCAACAGAAUAAGCACCGGCUAACUUCGUGCCAGCAGCCGCGGUAAUUC